rnacentral:lncRNA from 1 species
GCAAAUUUUUGCCAAUAUAGUGGCAACACUUGGAAACAAUGUAAUAUGUCAAGGCAGUAAUAGGUCAGAAAAAAAGUAAGACAUACAUUUUCUACUGAAUAGUUCUGAUAAUGAGCUCGAGAAGAGACCAUUCUCAUAUUGACCACCCAUUAUGCUAAUUCUGUCACCUUCAGCUGGAAUAGAUGUCAGGUCAGCACUGAGAAUAGAUCUUACACCCACGUUAUGAUCAAGAGCUCUAGGUAAAGAGUACUAAUUCUGUCACCUUCAGCUUGAAUAGAUGUCAGGUCAGCACUGAGAAUAGAUCUUACACCCAGGUUAUGGUCAAGAGCUCUAGGUAAAGAGUGAGAUGCUCUUUCCACUCCAGAAGCUUGUUUUUCUAUGAUACUGUUAACCUUUUUGUCUUGUAUUAGAUAAGAACCAUGAUGUUCAAAAUGCUUUGCCAUCGGAGAGCCCAACGAAAUAUGAUUCUCAA